rnacentral:misc_RNA from 1 species
GAUGAAGAACGCAGCGAAAUGCGAAAAGUAGUGUGAAUUGCAGAAUUCAGUGAAUCAUCGAAUCUUUGAACGCACAUUGCGCCCGCCAGUAUUCUGGCGGGCAUGCCUGUUCGAGCGUCAUUACAACCCUCAGGCCCCCGGGCCUGGCGUUGGGGAUCGGCGGAGCCCCCCGUGGGCACACGCCGUCCCCCAAAUGCAGUGGCGGUCCCGCCGCAGCUUCCAUCGCGUAGUAGCUAACACCUCGCGACUGGAGAGCGGCGCGGCCACGCCGUAAAACACCCAACUCUUCUGAAGUUGACCUCGAAUCAGGUAGGAAUACCCGCUGAACUUAAGCAUAUCAAUAAGCGGAGGA